CAGUUCGGAUUGUAGUCUGCAACUCGACUACAUGAAGCUGGAAUCGCUAGUAAUCGCGAAUCAGAAUGUCGCGGUGAAUACGUUCCCGGGUCUUGUACACACCGCCCGUCACACCAUGGGAGUCAGUAACGCCCGAAGUCAGUGACCCAACCAUAUAGGAGGGAGCUGCCGAAGGCGGGACCGAUAACUGGGGUGAAGUCGUAACAAGGUACC
rnacentral:rRNA from 1 species